UAUGCAGAGGAUCCAGUGCCGGGUUGAAGGAAUCAUGAAUCAACACCUGAGUAUAUGCGGAGGAUCCAGCAUCGGGAAGGGGGAACAAUGAAUCAUCACGCGCGCGAUGCCUGAGUUGGUCUAAGUUAAUGUACUACCGAAGGCGGAGGGGCUGAUUCGCGAUUGAUUAAAUUGUGUUUUGGUGUUUAUAAGAGGACUGAUUAAACUUUUAUAUUUCCACAAAGUACUGUUUUUAUUUUCAUUACCUUUUGUCUAGCCUUCCUUUUUUACCUUUGAUGGAAGAUAAAACGAAUAAGCAUGUUCAAAAUCAAGCGGGACCGCACUGAGGGUAGCACUUGUGGGCUCAAACAGAGCUUUUCCCCUUCCGUUUUUGGGAGCCCUACCCCUCGACUAUGCACCGUCCUUUAGGUCCAUGAUGUAGACGACAUGUAUAGAUAGACAUGUAAUUACAUGUGUAUUUAUUAGACCUGUGGGCUUAGUGGCUGUGAACAUGAACAUGACCUGUGGGCUGUGCACAAUGGCACAAAUAUGCAGGCCUCAUUAUAUAUUACUCAUUAUGCACUACAACUACCCAAAAGGAUUCCCGAGUCGGAAAUCCCGACCCGUUUGGCAUGCACUGACACUGACAUGCACGUAAAAUAUGCAAAAACCUAUUCUAAAUUCUCAAUCUUGAAUUAAACGUCUUGAACUUUGAACGAAGCUUCAGAUUUUAAAUCUUGAUGAACAACAGUAGUAGAAUGGCAGAAUGAUAUAAGAUAGAAUAGAAUUUCCAUGUCAAAUAUUCAUUAUUACAUUUAUACUGCAUAAAUUUAAUAUUUGUUUAACAGAUGUAACCAAUUUUAAACUUUUCUGAUUGAACUUAAUCUUUUUACCGAAAUUAUAGCCGAAAUAUAUGCGUAAUAUUGUUUAACUUUAAGGUAGAGAAAAAAUGAUAAAAAUAGUGGAAACUAGAAAAAUAUAUACUUUGCCACAAAAUGGACCAUUAUUUGUGACCCUGAAAAGAAUUAUUUAUGGAACUGAAAAUAAUUGUUUGUUCCUCAAAAUGCAAUGCAGCAACGCAAAGGAAAAGAUGGACUAUCUGAAUCUGAACCAAAUAAAAGACAAAUAACAAAUCCAUAUAUACAUUUAUUAUACAUAUAUAUAUUACAUGUACUGUGAUUCGUCAAAUAGUAAAUAAAGCAUUUAUUGUUAUUAUGUAA